rnacentral:rRNA from 1 species
AGAGUUUGAUCCUGGCUCAGGACGAACGCUGGCGGCGUGCUUAACACAUGCAAGUCGAGCGGAAAGGCCCUUUCGGGGGUACUCGAGCGGCGAACGGGUGAGUAACACGUGAGUAACCUGCCCUUGGCUUUGGGAUAACCCUCGGAAACGGGGGCUAAUACCGGAUAUUCACUACUUCUCGCAUGGGGGGUGUGGAAAGAUUUUUUGGCUGGGGAUGGGCUCGCGGCCUAUCAGCUUGUUGGUGGGGUGAUGGCCUACCAAGGCGACGACGGGUAGCCGGCCUGAGAGGGCGACCGGCCACACUGGGACUGAGACACGGCCCAGACUCCUACGGGAGGCAGCAGUGGGGAAUAUUGCACAAUGGGCGCAAGCCUGAUGCAGCGACGCCGCGUGAGGGAUGACGGCCUUCGGGUUGUAAACCUCUUUCAGCAGGGACGAAGCGAGAGUGACGGUACCUGCAGAAGAAGCGCCGGCCAACUACGUGCCAGCAGCCGCGGUAAU